AGUGCCUCAUUGCUGUUGCUCUAAGAUCUCAACUCAGCGCGAAUGCUCAUGUGCCAAUUGCAUCUCAACAAGUAAACCGUCAGUGAUUGUACUGUAUUUUGACUAACGUUUUUAUUAAAAAUAAUGGAUUUUAGCAAACAAAGAAAGGCAUUCAACAACAGAAAACAAACAUCGGUACAUGGUCAGUCCUUUGAACUGUCUGUGUGCCAUCAUCAGUUCCACCCUGCUGUACAUACAGAUGCUUGGAGUCUUCUGAGUACCGCUCUGUCUCUGGCUCCCGUACCACAUCUCACCACCAACCACCUUGCUCUGGACUUCACUCACCCCCACCAUCUUGGAUUCCCCUCAGGACCUGUUUACCCUGUUCAACUCAGUCAACUCCAACCUCACUCUACACUUUGGGUUUAUCUGCAACUCAUCUGAGCUACCCCGGUUCUGCACUCCAUAUCUCUCUGUGUACAAUAAACAUUUUGGUUCAUUCAUCCCUGCUUCUGCAUCUGAGUCCGCUCUUGGGUUCCCCUGUGUUCGCUCCGCGUAACAGAACAGUGUAAAGGAACCUGGAAUACUGUAAGACAUUGUUACCUGCCAAAAUAUAAUGUUGCUAUUAUUCAGGAAAACGGGUACUUUUCCUGUCUCAGUUAGCUCCCCAUGGCUUAAGACCUCUUUAAACUCCAUCCCAGGAAGCACACUUCUACUCACAAUCUCUCCACAUUAUCUCCUCACACAGCACAGCAGCUCAGCUGUCUAUUUUAAGGAACAUCUUUGAGGCAGGAUUUCAGCUGGGAGAUGUAUGCUAUUUAUUCACGUUUCUUAGUUUAGAAAAGGGCUUAUCAGCAGCCAGGUGCACCACAUCACUCAAUGGCUCAUUGAGAGUGCAGUGGAUGGAUGGAUGAAUGGUGUGCGUGCGUGUGUCUGUGUACCAGACUGAGAGACACAGUAUGUGGCUGUGAUUGAAUUUGAAUCUGCCACUUAUUCUCGAGUGCUCUCUCCAAAGUCUGAUUCAAGCAACCUUCAAUGCUGCUGACAUUCCAUUAUGAAAUAUCAGAGAGCUUGUGUAGGAUGAGAGAACCAGCCUACAUGACAGACUGGUCAACACUGCAUGAUAAACACUGACAAUGGAAAGUGUAUUAUUCAAGGUUGCUCAUGCCUCUUUGGAAGGUGCCCGGUUAGUAAGGGGAGGAUUUUUUUGUCAAAGAUCAGGGGUUUGUCAGCUCUGAGCUACAGGUCUUCCCUUAAUUAUUGUGUAACUAGGGUAAGGUCACAUGGUUAGGAAAAACUCCUGGGCCUAGUUAUGACUGGGUGAUGAUGGUAAAUCCAUGGGUUUCAUGACAGAUUACUAGUAUGUCUAUGUGCCAGCUGGCAGACUUCUGUGUCAGUCAUCUGUGCUUACCUUGAACCUAUGCUCCACUAAACCUUAAUGUACAGUGGUGCCUACAUAAACAUACAGUACAACAUCUACACUCAGUCAAUUAGUGUAAUUCUGUUACCUAUCGAUAGAUAUAGCGCUGUCUGUAGCAAUUUACCCAGUAUCAUCCCUGUGCACCUGCUUCAAAAUGUCCGCUAUCAUCCUGUGCCAAAGAAAUGGAAAAUAGCUGCACUGAAUGACUACCGACCCGUAGCACUCACUUCCGUCAUCAUGAAGUGCUUCGAGAGGGUAGUCAAAGACCACAUAACCCUCCUCCCUGUCCGACACACUCCACCUUCUCCAAUUCGCCUACUGUCCCGACAGAUCCAUGGACAACACAGUCACCAUUGCACUGCCAAUGCCCUCACCCACCUGAACAAAAGAAAUGCAUAUGUGAGGAUGCUGUUCAUCGACUACAGCUCAGCCUUCAAUACCAUAGUGCCCUCUAAGCUCACGGCGCUUGGUCUGAACUCCUCCCUAUGCAACUGUGUCAUGGACUUCCUGACGGGCAGCCCCCAGGUGGUGAAGGUAGGCAACUACCUCCUCUAAACCGAUAUCCCCAUUCUUAUCAAGUGGAGACGGUCAAAAACUUUCAAUUCCUCGGUGUACACGUCUCCGGGGAGCUGAAUUGGUCAAACUACACAGACACAGUGGUGAAAUAAAGCACGACAGCGACUCUUCAACCUCAGGAGGCUGAAGAAAUUUGGCCUGUCCCCGAGGGCCCUCAUAGUGUUCUACAGGAGCACCAUCGAGAGCAUACUGUUGGGCUGCAUCACAGCUUGGUACGGCAACUCCACCGCCGCUGACCGCAUUGCGCUUCAGAGGGGGGUACCUGCUCCUCCUGUCCCCCUACUGCACCCCGAGACUCCCCCCUGCUGCUCUCCUUAUGGACCCCCCCAAGAGACAUUUACCCAGCCCCUGCCUCUGCCCCCAAUGGUCACGUAUAAUGUUAUUGUUGUAAAUAUAUAUUAUUAUUGUUAUUAUUAUUUUUUAUUGUUCAUUCACUUCCCUUUGACCUGCACUGUUGGAGAUUGACGCGUAAGAUGUUCACUGUACCCUGCAUUUACAUCUGCAACCCUGUGCAUUUGACUAAUAAACUCUCUAAAUCUCUACA